rnacentral:rRNA from 1 species
CAGCAGUAGGGAAUCUUCCGCAAUGGGCGAAAGCCUGACGGAGCGACGCCGCGUGAGCGAUGAAGGCCUUCGGGUUGUAAAGCUCUGUGGGGAGGGAAGAAUAAGGGUGAGUUAAUAGCUCAUCUGAUGACGGUACCUCCUUAGCAAGCACCGGCUAACUCUGUGCCAGCAGCCGCGGUAAGACAGAGGGGGCAAACGUUGUUCGGAUUUACUGGGCGUAAAGCGCGUGUAGGCGGCUUUGCAAGUCGGAUGUGAAAGCCCACGGCUCAACCGUGGAAGUGCAUCCGAAACUGCAUGGCUUGAGUCUCGGAGAGGAAGGUGGAAUGCAAGGUGUAGAGGUGAAAUUCGUAGAUAUCAAGCAGAACACCUGCGGCGAAGGCGGCCUUCUGGACGAUGACUGACGCUGAGACGCGAAAGCGUGGGGAGCAAACAGGAUUAGAUACCCGG